CGCGGAGGUCAAUCGUGGAUCAGGGAAAGCGAAGGCAGGAGCGUGAGGUGAACUGAAUUUCAGAGUGAAAGAGAUCUUUGGUUUUGCCUUUGCUGACUGCUGAUCUGAUCGUCUCAAGUCUGGUGACCUGCUGCAGAAGAUCCUCUCUCUCUAUCAUUAUAAGCAAUUCUGUCUAUCCUAUCACUCUCCCGACUCUAUCUAAUUUGACAGCCAUUCUAUCUUGUAUCCCUCUAUCCUCUACUGCUCUAUCUAAUUUGACAGCCAUUCUAUCUUGUAUCCCUCUAUCCCUACUGCUCUAUCUAAUUUGACAGCCAUUCUAUCUUGUAUCCCUCUAUCCCAAGCGCUCUAUCUAAUUUCAGAAUCCAAGUUUUCAGAAAUCCAAGUUUUCAGAUUCCAAGUUUUCAGAAAUCCAAGUACCAGUACUUGAUCUAUCUGUUACAGAAUUCUGAGAGAUCUCUGCUCUCACUGCUCCUUCUUUCCUGUCAUUAAACUCUCUCACAUUCAGUCAUUUUGCUGAAAAUUACAAUUAGAAAGUUGAAUAUACAGUAGUAGAAUAUCAGUAC
ensembl:lncRNA